UACGGAGGAUGCAAGCGUUAUCCGGAAUCACUGGGCGUAAAGCGUCUGUAGGCGGUUUGCUAAGUCUGUUGUUAAAGCUUGAAGCUCAACUUCAAAAAUGCAAUAGAAACUAGUAGACUUGAGUAUGGUAGGGGUAGAGGGAAUUUCCAGUGAAGUGGUGAAAUGCGUAGAUAUUGGAAAGACCGCCAAAGGCGAAGGCGCUCUACUGGGCCACAACUGACACUGAGAGACGAAAGCUAGGGGAGCAAAUGGG
rnacentral:rRNA from 1 species